GCCUGGGUGGCUCAGUCGGUUGAGCGUCCGACUUUGGCUCAGGUCAUGAUCUCGUGGUUCGUGGGUUCGAGCCCCACGUCAGGCU
rnacentral:tRNA from 1 species